AACGGAAAGGCCCUGCUUGCAGGGUACUCGAGUGGCGAACGGGUGAGUAACACGUGGGUGAUCUGCCCUGCACUUCGGGAUAAGCUUGGGAAACUGGGUCUAAUACCGGAUAGGAGCCAUCUUUAGUGUGGUGGUUGGAAAGUUUUUUCGGUGUAGGAUGAGCUCGCGGCCUAAUCAGCUUGUUGGUGGGGUAAUGGCCUACCAAGGCGGCGACGGGUAGCCGGCCUGAGAGGGUGUACGGCCACAUUGGGACUGAGAUACGGCCCAGACUCCUACGGGAGGCAGCAGUGGGGAAUAUUGCACAAUGGGCGCAAGCCUGAUGCAGCGACGCCGCGUGGGGGAUGAAGGCCUUCGGGUUGUAAACUCCUUUCGCUAGGGACGAAGCUUUUUUGUGACGGUACCUAGAUAAGAAGCACCGGCUAACUAC
rnacentral:rRNA from 1 species